GAUGAACGCUGGCGGCGUGCCUAAUACAUGCAAGUCGAGCGAACAGAUGAGGAGCUUGCUCCUCUGACGUUAGCGGCGGACGGGUGAGUAACACGUGGAUAACCUACCUAUAAGACUGGGAUAACUUCGGGAAACCGGAGCUAAUACCGGAUAAUAUAUUGAACCGCAUGGUUCAAUAGUGAAAGACGGUUUUGCUGUCACUUAUAGAUGGAUCCGCGCCGCAUUAGCUAGUUAGUAAGGUAACGGCUUACCAAGGCGACGAUGCGUAGCCGACCUGAGAGGGUGAUCGGCCACACUGGAACUGAGACACGGUCCAGACUCCUACGGGAGGCAGCAGUAGAGAAUCUUCCGCAAUGGGCGAAAGCCUGACGGAGCAACGCCGCGUGAGUGAUGAAGGUCUUCGGAUCGUAAAACUCUGUUAUUAGGGAAGAACAAAUGUGUAAGUAACUAUGCACGUCUUGACGGUACCUAAUCAGAAAGCCACGGCUAACUACGUG
rnacentral:rRNA from 1 species